rnacentral:rRNA from 1 species
CCCCUUGAAGACGACGAGGUAGAUAGGUUGGAGGUGGAAGUGCAGCAAUGCAUGGAGCUGACCAAUACUAAUCGGUCGAGGGCUUAUCCUAUA